GCGGGUAUAGCUCAAUGGUAGAGCAUCGGCUUCCCAAGCCGGUAAUGGGAGUUCGAUCCUCCUUACCCGCU
rnacentral:tRNA from 1 species